GGUCUGAAGGCAACCUAACAUGCUAUUUUUUUUUGUCUGUGGGAGGAAAUCCAAGUACCAAGAAAACCCACACAAGUAUGAGAAGAAUGUGCAAGCUCCACGCAGAAAAACCCUGGAUCCAAAUGGGGAUCAAACACAGGACCUUCUAGAUGUGAGGCAUCAGGGCUAACCACUCCAUCUAAUACUAAAUGAUGUUGGUGUGAAAGAACACGGUGCUAGCUAGCUAAUGUUUAGCUUACUGUUGGAGAUUGUUCAAAAGAAACUAGCAAGAUAAUCUGAGAGCAUUGUGUAUUUAGAUUCUUUAUAUGCUACAAAACAGAAAUUAGAGAACAAAUGUCUUUACAAGCCAUAUAUGAACUUAUCACACCGCUGAACUUUUGUUCAAUUUGAGAUGCAAAAUUUCAUCAACAAGGGAAUAUAAACAGAAAAUUGUUGGCUUGUUGAUUGUGAUAACCAAUAUCUACAUCUCUGUUGUUACCACAGCUGGUUCAGGAAUAACAUCAGACCCAUCAGUGACAUGAACUCAGAAAGUCAGGCAAAUGAGUGGAACUGACCAACCAAACACAGGAGGCGAAUGAAAAAAGUGAUUUUAUUUACAGGUGCUGGGAAAAAUGUACAAGUCCAGAUCUGAAAAAAGGGGAAGAGUCCAGGUGAGUCUUCUUCAAUAUGGAUUGGAUCAUGAAUGAUAAAUGUCUUUAGAUAAUGAAAAUUCUUUCUUACAGGUUUCUGAAGAGUGAGUAGGCUUUGAGGUGAGGUUUCUUUUGUGAGAUAAAAUGGUUUCUUCAGGCAGAGUGGCAAGACCAUAAAAUCUUCCUUGGUUCCUUUUGAUGAUGAUCCUGGGCAGACUAAAAACUCCAGACGGUGCAAUGACGAAGGUUUCCUUGAAGAGCAAAAAAAAUUCAGACUGCACUGUGGAUUCAUCUCCAGUUGCCCCAGACAAGGCCAGCAUCUCCACACCACCUCCUGAUGCACGCGUCUUCACACCACCCUCUGCACCACACCUGAACUCAGUACACACCCAGUGGGAGGACCCUUCACAAUAGGAUCACACAUACUUCCACACAUCUUGCAGAAAGGACGUGCAGGACAAGAUGACUCAGUGUGAUGAGGUUGCAUUUCAUUUUACAAAAAAAAAAAAUCAGGAUUUUUACUGUGUUCUGUGUACUUUUAAACUUCAAUUUUUGUCUUAAAAACAUUUCACUGCAUGUUGAACUUUAUGUAUGUGAUAAAUGUAUUUGAUUUGAUUGCUUCCAUUUUUUAUCUUCUGUUGCUAACAUUUUAUGAAGGCAAUGCAUUCCACAUACAGAGAAAGCUAUUGAACAUGUAUAAUUUUGCAUUUUAGGUAAAAAUGAUUUUAUCAAAACCAUAAAUGUAAUUUGACACUUUUUUAUUGUUUAUCAAGGAGUAAUAAAGUACAUAAAUUCUUACAUUCA